rnacentral:lncRNA from 1 species
AUUUUGUUGAAUAAAUUGAGACAUUUGUCAUGCAAGACUUUGACCCCCCCCCCCAUUUCGUUGACUUCUGUUUGUUUCAGAGUUCGUUAUUUAGCCAAGGAAAGUAUAACUCAGGACCCCAAAGACAGCACUGUCUCUUUUGUACAACCCAAUGGAGCCAUCUUUGAGCCUUCACUGUCUGUUGGAACAGAGAAUGACAACUUCACAGUUCUCAAUCUGGCUGUGGCAGCUGUACCACAUAUCUACCAAAACUCAUUUUUUCAAGGUGUGCUCAACAUAUUUAUCAAAAAGUCCAAGUCUUCUAUGUUCCAAACACGAAGUUUGAAAGAACUCUUGUGGGGUUAUGAAGAUCCAUUCUUGAGUUUGAUUCCAUAUCCUAUAAGUACCACAGUUGGUGUGUUUUAUCCUGUAAGUACCAAAUAUAAAUGUUUGUUAUAUUUUUAAGUAUGUUAAUAAAAUGAUAAUGGGAAACAUUUAUAAUUUCACAUAUUAUUAGCCUUACUAGUUAAUCUGUGAACAUAU